rnacentral:lncRNA from 1 species
GGAAAGAAAGGGGAACAUCCUCCUCUUCCAGCGGAGGAAGCUGGGUGAAGAAAGGAGAAGCAUUGCGCUGGUGUGGGAAGCACGGGGCCGCUAAGGUUGAGGGCUUCUCAGCCUGGGCUGGAUCCUGGACAGACAGGCCCAGGCAGGCUGUGCACUGUGACCUGGGGCCUUGCUGUGAACAAAGAGGACUUCAAGAGGAGAUGGCCUGGAGGAGUUCGCCUUUGUGGUCAUUUUGCUUCAGGUAAAUCCUGUAUAACCAGGAACCAGGGAUAAUGAGUCAGGGACCGACCAUGAGAAACACACUGUUCUAACACAGCUUCUGAAGAGCCUUCUGGAGGGGG